rnacentral:rRNA from 1 species
AACGAACGCUGGCGGCAGGCCUAACACAUGCAAGUCGAACGAGAUCUUCGGAUCUAGUGGCGGACGGGUGAGUAACGCGUGGGAACGUGCCCUUCUCUACGGAAUAGGUCCUGGGAAACUGGGUUUAAAUACCGUAUACGCCCUUCGGGGAAAGAAUUUCGGGGAAAGGAAUCGGUCCCGCGUUCGGAUUAGGUAGUUGGUGGGGUAAUGGCCUACCAAGCCGACGAUCCAUAGACUGGUUUGAGAGGAUGAUCAGCCACGACUGGGACUGAGACACGGCCCAGACUCCUAC